UGCCGAACAGCUAGCCCACCUAGACAACUUCAACACCUCACUAUUAAUACCCCUUAAUACACGAAUCAUAAACGAAACAAAUCAUUUUUAACCCCUAGUAUGGGCGACAGAAAAGGGCCUAGGAGCAAUAGAGAAAGUACCGUAAGGGAACGCUGAAAGAGAAAUGAAAAAACCCAGUAAAGCGCAGAAAAGUAGAGCUAAAACCUCGUCCCUUUUGCAUCAUGAUUUAGCCAGUGAUUUUCAAGCAAAAAGCUUUUUAGUUUGUUGACCCGAAACUAAGGGAGCUACUUCAAGACAGCCUGAUAAUAGGGCAAACCCGUCUCUGUCGCAAAAGGGUGGGAAGAGCUUUAAGUAGAGGUGAAAGACCUACCGAACUUAGUUAUAGCUGGUUGCCCAAGAAAUGAAUAGUAGUUCAGCCUCCCGGCUUCUCCCUUCAUCUCAGUGUACACCUCUCCCUGAUACCUUGAGAAACCGUGAGAGUUAUUCAAAGGGGGUACAGCCCCUUUGAAACAAGAUACAACUUUCCCAGGAGGGUAAAGAUCAUAAUAACCUAAGGUAAAUAACUCUCGUGGGCCCGAAAGCAGCCACCCCUUGAAGAAAGCGUCUAAGCUCAGAACAAUUUGCCCCGCCCCCGAUCCCGAUCAUUUAAUCUCAUCCCCCUAAAUUUAUUGGGCCGUUCCAUGCCCCCAUGGAAGUGACCAUGCUAAUAUGAGUAAUAAGAAAGCUAUGUCUUUCUCCCCGCACACGUGUAAAUCGGAAUGGACCAACCACCGAAUAUUAACGGCCCCAAGCAAAGAGGGCAUUAGAAGGUAAAUCAAAUAACUAGAAAAACCUCCAACUACUAACCGUUACCCCAACACAGGUGUGCCCCCCGGGAAAAACUGAAAGGAAGAGAAGGAAUUCGGCAAACACAUGAAGCCUCGCCUGUUUACCAAAAACAUCGCCUCUUGCAACUCAACGUAUAGGAGGUCCCGCCUGCCCUGUGACUAUAAGUUUAACGGCCGCGGUAUUUUGACCGCGCGAAGGUAGCGCAAUCACUUGUCUUUUAAAUGGAGACCUGUAUGAAUGGCAUAACGAGGGCUUAGCUGUCUCCUCUUCUAAGUUAAUGAAAUUAAUCUUCCCGUGCAGAAGCGGGAAUAAAUCCAUAAGACGAGAAGACCCUAUGAAGCUUUAGACAAAAGGUAGACCAGACUACAAAGACCCCCGAAUAACGGGACAAACCAAAUGGACCCUGCCCUCCUGUCUUUGGUUGGGGCGACCGCGGGGAAAGAAAAAACCCCCACGUGGAACAGGAGUACUGCUCCUUAAGCUCAGAGCCACAGCUCUAAGAAACAGAAUUUUUGACCUAAAGAUCCGGCAAUGCCGAUCAACGGACCGAGUUACUCUAGGGAUAACAGCGCAAUCCCCUUUUAGAGACCAUAUCAACAAGGGGGUUUACGACCUCGAUGUUGGAUCAGGACAUCCUAUUGGUGCAGCCGCUAUUAAGGGUUCGUUUGUUCAACGAUUAAAGUCCUACGUGAUCUGAGUUCAGACCGGAGUAAUCCAGGUCAGUUUCUAUCUAUGACAUGCUCUUUUCUAGUACGAAAGGACCGGAAAGAAAAGGUCAAUGUAUCAUGUACACCUUACCCCUACCUAAUGAAAACAACUAAAAUAGGCGAGGGGGUAUGUCUUCCCCACCAGAGAAAAUGGUAU
rnacentral:rRNA from 1 species